GUACUACUCCUUCCGAUCCAUAUUAGUUGUCGCUCAAACGGAUGUAUCUAGCACUGAAGUAUGUCUAGAUACAUCCGUUUAAGCGACAACUAAUAUGGAUCGGAGGGAGUAUUUA
rfam:Triticum aestivum genome assembly, contig: Triticum_aestivum_CS42_TGACv1_scaffold_392807_5AS